rnacentral:tRNA from 1 species
GGGGGGAUGGUCUAGCUUGGUAUGAUGCGAGGUUUGGGACCUUGAGGUCGAGGAUUCGAAUUCCUCUCUCCCCACCA